rnacentral:rRNA from 1 species
AGCGGGGCCCAUCCCGUAAGGCUAAAUACUCCCGAGAGACCGAUAGCGAACCAGUACCGUGAGGGAAAGGUGAAAAGCACCUCGAACAGAGGAGUGAAAUAGUCCCUGAAACCGUCUGCCUACAAGCGGUCGGAGCAACGCAAGUUGUGACGGCGUGCCUUUUGCAUAAUGAACCUACGAGUUACUUUCUCCGGCAAGGUUAAGGGCUUCAGGCCCGUAGCCGAAGCGAAAGCGAGUCUGAACAGGGCGUAUAGUCGGAGUGAGUAGACGCGAAACCAAGUGAUCUACCCUUGGUCAGGAUGAAGGUUGGGUAACACCAACUGGAGGUCCGAAUGGGUAUACGUUGAAAAGUGUUCCAAUGAACUGAGGGUAGGGGUGAAAGGCUAAUCAAACUUGGAGAUAGCUCGUACUCCCCGAAAUGCAUUUAGGUGCAGCCUAUGGUUAGUAUAGUAUGAGGUAGAGCGACUGAUUGGAUGCGAGGGCUUCACCGCCUAUCAAGUCCAGAUAAACUCCGAAUGCGUGCUAUAUAUUGCCAUGGAGUGAGGGCGCGGGUGCUAAGGUCCGCGUCCGAGAGGAGAAGAAUCCAGACCAUCAGCUAAGGUCCCCAAAUGACAGUUAAGUUGAACUAACGAAGUCGGACUGCAGAGACAGCUAGGAUGUUGGCUUGGAAGCAGCCAUUCAUUUAAAGAGUGCGUAACAGCUCACUAGUCGAGGAGUCCGGCAUGGAUAAUACUCGGGCAUAAACUGUCUACCGAAGCUAUGGAUGUAGUAAUACAUGGUAGGGGAGCAUUCCAACGGCGCCGAAGGUAAAGGAUGACCUUUGCUGGAGCUUUUGGAAAAGCAAAUGUAGGUAUAAGUAACGAUAAAGGAGGUGAGAAACCUCCUCGCCGAAAGACUAAGGUUUCCUGAUCAACGUUAAUCGGAUCAGGGUAAGUCGGGACCUAAGGAUAAGCCGAACGGCGAUUCCGAUGGAAGAAUGGUUUAAUAUUCCCAUACUACUUUAUGGAGCGAUGUGGAGACGGAGAAGUGACAGUCCUGCCGACUGACGGAAUAGUCGGUUGAAGGGUGUAGACGUAGAUUCCUGUAGGCAAAUCCGCAGGGAGAGUCGAACCUAACAGUAUGCUGAGUGCUUGCACAAGGCAAUAUGGAUGUAAUCAGGCUCCCUAGAAAAUCCGCUAAGCAUAUUCAUAAAGUACCCGUACCGUAAACGGACACACGUAGUUGGGUUGAAAAUACUGAGGCGCUCGAGUGAUUCACGGUUAAGGAACUAGGCAAAUUGACCCUGUAACUUCGGGAUAAAGGGUCCCUACUGAGAGGUAGGGCGCAGAGAAUAGGUCCAGGCAACUGUUUAACAAAAACACAUGGCUGUGCGAAAUAGAAAUAUGAGGUAUACAGCCUGACACCUGCCCGGUGCUGGAAGGUUAAGAGGAGAGCUUAUCGCAAGAGAAGGUUUGAAUUGAAGCCCCAGUAAACGGCGGCCGUAACUAUAACGGUCCUAAGGUAGCGAAAUUCCUUGUCGGGUAAGUUC